GCAGAGCUCGGAUCAGACCCUCGUGGUCUGGCUGUAGAGCCCGUGUUCUAAUCAUUUUGUUACACUGCCUCUCAGAUGCUUCCAUUCUGCUUUCUUCCAUGUGCAAACUAUUGUGUGCAAUCCUGUAUAUGAUGAUGAUCAUAUUUUAUUUUUUUCUGUCUGAGAAGACUUAUUUUUCAUAAAAGAGAGUUUUCUUAUGUGAUAUGAAUUAAGGUUCAUAAGGUUAGUUUGCGAAGUUGCAUUCUUUGUAUCAAUAAUUUAUUUUUCCACUGUUUAAAUUAUUGGAUAGAUGUUGCUAUCGGAGCUCCACAGGAAGAUGACUUGCGAGGUGCUAUUUAUAUUUACAAUGGCCGUGCAGAUGGGAUCUCAUCAACCUUCUCACAGAGAAUUGAAGGACUUCAGAUCAGCAAAUCGUUAAGUAUGUUUGGACAGUCUAUAUCAGGACAAAUUGAUGCAGAUAAUAAUGGUUAUGUAGAUGUAGCAGUUGGUGCUUUUCGGUCUGAUUCUGCUGUGUUGCUAAGGACAAGACCUGUAGUAAUUGUUGAAGCUUCUUUAAGCCACCCUGAGUCAG
rnacentral:sRNA from 1 species